rnacentral:rRNA from 1 species
UGAGGAAUAUUGGUCAAUGGGCGCAAGCCUGAACCAGCCAUCCCGCGUGCAGGAAGACGGCCCUAUGGGUUGUAAACUGCUUUUCCAGGGGGAGAAACUUGCGCACGUGUUGCGCAAUUGACGGUACUCUGGGAAUAAGCAUCGGCUAACUCCGUGCCAGCAGCCGCGGUAAUACGGAGGAUGCGAGCGUUAUCCGGAUUCAUUGGGUUUAAAGGGUGCGUAGGCGGACUAUUAAGUCAGUGGUGAAAUCCUGCAGCUUAACUGGA